GCUGUGUGGGGAGGUGGGAGUGAGGCGGGAAGGGAGCGUGCGCAUGCGCGGAGCGGGAAGGGAGGACGGUGGCGGAGGUCUUGCAGGACAGUGUGGGCCAACAGUCUCCCUUCAGCUAUGCAUGUUGUUGAAACCAAAUCAGACUCAUAAACUUUUCUUCAUGAAUUAAACAAAGCAUGCAAACAUAUGUGACACAGUCGGUGAAGAAAGAGCAAGAAGGCAGAUACUGUGACUUCAGACGGGAAACCUGAAGGGAUGCACCCAGCACACAGAGAAAAAAUAAAAUAAGAAAAGCUGAGCAGAAGAAUUCAAAAAAAGGGGAAGAAAAAAAAAGAAAGAAAACAAGUAAGAGACAUUAAAUAACAUAGAGGGUGACAGACUUUGAUAUUCAGCUUAGGUUCAUGUGCACAGCCAGCCCAUCCAUUUGAUCAGGGCUGCAAUGCCUUGUGCUGUAGAGUCACAGAAGACAGAAAUCAUGUUGUAUCCCAGACCACUAUUGCGCUAGCAACAGCAAAUCCUUGUUAGCAUAUUGAAAAACCUCCAGUGUUCCUGUGUAGUUACACUUCAACAGUUACAUGGUAGCUUGGUGAAACUGGCUCCAUGGGAAGACUCUUCGCUGAAAAAACUUUUUAGUCUGAAUUUUUAUUUGUGUAUAAUGUGUUUUCCUUCACUAAUAUAAUUCCAGAAGGUCAGUGGAGCUGCCACAGUCUCCAGAUUUUCUCACCUGUUUGUGAACUAGGUUGAGGAACCAUUCUUUAAUCUUCUAUGGGAACUGCACUUGACCUUCAUAAAUGUUAAGAAGUAUUCCAGUUUGUGAAGUUUGUCACAGUCAUUUAUAUUUUGUUUCUGCAUUCUUCACUUUUCCCACCCAUUAAAGUUAUCAAGCUUUCGUAGACAAUUUUACCAUAUGCUGCUUUCCUUCUUGCUAAAAAAUAUAGAUGCUAUAAAAAUAUUUUGCUCUUCUGGAUCAGUUUUGAUUUUCUUUUAAUGGUAUAUGCACUGACGUAAGUUUCCACCCUUGUCAGGUCCUUCUGGGAGCAUGUUGUCAUUCUGUUCCUGUGUUCAGUGGUAUUACAUCUCAGUGUACCAGUACGGUUGCUCAGUAUUGUCUGCUACAGUAAUGUGAAACCUUUUUAAGGAAACAAGAGCAUUACAAGAAAUCUACAAGUUUCUUUACCUGAGCUGGCAGCAGAGGUACAGUCAGUGUUCAUACCCAAAACACAGGUAGUAUCUUUGACAAAAAGGAAGAAAAAUGACAGCUCAGGAACUACCAUGGGCUUUUCUAAGAUCUUCAAGGAUGAGAGAUAGUCCAGAUGGUAAAAGAGGUAGGCAGACCUCAAAGUAGUCUAAACAAAUACAGCAGCAGCAUCCUAGGAAAAGAGGUUUGGGGGGUAUUUGGUGAAAAGGUGCUUGGUGAUGAAAACUGACUUGAUUGAUUUGUCUGAUGUUCAGGAGAGCAGAAUUCAGCACAUUCUUGUUAGUAUAAAGAAUUGUACUGGAGAUGAGGAUGCUUCAUGAUUUUUCUUUUUAGAAUCAAACAAUCUACAUCAAAUUCAACACAUACAUCACACAAGCAUCCUUCAUUAGUUGAAAUGAAAUCGAUGGAUGCAUACACAUCACUAUAGAAGGAGUAUUUGCAUGAGAUCACGACUGCAUUUUUACAGAUAAAUUAGCAUUUGCUUUAUGCCUUACAGUAUGGUUAGCUUACACAUUUUGCUGAGCUUAGCAAACACGUCCCUUUUGACAUGCUAAGCAAUCAUUUGGGAGCUAUGUAUUUGCAUCCAGCUCAUCAAGUUACAAAAAGUAAAAAUGCUAGAGGGGUGUAUGCUGGGGAGAAUUUCUGUUCAGUUAUUAUAUGAUUUUCCAUAUGACUUUACCCACGAUGACUUCUCACUGCAUCCCCAAAAGGACACAGUCAAGGAGGGAAGAUUUGGAAGAGUGUUUUUUUUAGCCAGUUAUUCCCAAGUGAUAAAUUCUAGGUAACUCCGUAAGGAGCUUCUAAUAUUUUCUUCCUCACCUAGUGCCUUAGAGGAUUUUCCAUUUUUUCCAUUGCAUUUAUGCAUUUCCCAUUGCAUGAAACAAGUCAAACUGCCGAAUUACACACUGGGAGCCAAGCCUCAACAAGAGAUCAGCUUAAUCUGAAGAAUGUGAUGAACUUUUGCCAAAGCACAGAAGAAAGCCAGGCCUCAAAAAAAUCCUGCAGACCAAACCAGUAAUAAAAAUUGAACUUAAGAAUAUGAGAUUAAUGAGGGACACUGGUAAAAUGUCAGGUAAAAUAGAGAGCUUUUAACAUUCUUAAAAAUACUGUGAGUAGGUGGCCCGGUUCAAGGAAAUUAUGUAUCGGGACAAAAACCACUAUUGCCCAGUACCAGAAUCUGGCAGAACUAUCUCGGUGCUGCUGGAAGCAGAAAAGGCACUGACUCAGGGAGAACCAUUCAG